rnacentral:rRNA from 1 species
ACCUGGUUGAUCCUGCCAGUGCGCACACGCUCUCUUUAAAGAUUAAGCCAUGCACGUGCUAAGUUCAUACAUUAAAAAUGUGAGACUGCGGACGGCUCAGUAUAUCAGUUAUAAUCUGCUCGAUUGUUAUGGUUAUUGGAUAACCGUGGGAAAUCUAGAGCUAAUACAUGCUAACGUUGGGUGUGGCACCCGCCACAUUCAGCCGCAUUUAUUAGAGAAUACCAAUCGCAUGAGCAAUCAUGUGUGGUGAAUCUAGAUAACUUUGCUGAUCGCAUGGCCUAGAGCCGGCGACAUUUCGAUUGAGUUUCUGCCCUAUCACCUUGAUGCUAGUGUAUUGUACUAGCAUGGGAGUAACGGGUAACGGAGGAUCAGGGUUCGAUCCCGGAGAGGGAGCCUGAGAAACGGCUACCACAUCCAAGGAAGGCAGCAGGCGCGCAAAUUACCCAAUCCAGACAAUGGGAGGUGGUGACGAAGAGUACCGGAUGACUAAAAUUAUUUUAGUCAGUCUGGAAUGAAAUCAAUUUAAGCAAUUGAGUUGAGUAACUACUGGAGGGCAAGUCUGGUGCCAGCAGCCGCGGUAAUUCCAGCUCCAGUAGCGUGUCUCAAAGUUGCUGCGCUUAAAACGCUCGUAGUGGGAUGAGAAACUACAUGCUGGAUAGUUAUGAACUAGGUUAAAGAGCUAUUAUCAUAUAUGACUGUGAUGCUUCUGGUGUCCAGCAUAUUGGUAUUAGUUCAACUAGUAAUAACAUAUAACUGGUGUGUAGUAAUUGCGUAUGAGGAUGACCAUUGACCUUAAGUGUGUUGAAGGUCGUGUCUCAUGGGAUGUGCCUUGAGUAAAUCAGAGUGCUCAAAGCAGGCGUGAUGCCUGAAUGUUGAUAGCAUGGAACGAACAAUAGUGUAGAUGUGUAUUGAAAACGUAGAUGCUAUUAUGACCUAAUAGUAUUCUACUACAAUAUGCAACACCGACCCGCCAAUUACGGAUGUUGGUUCCGUAUUGGGGUACUGAUUAAGAGGAGCGGUUGGGGGCAUUGGUAUUUGGCAGCGAGAGGUGAAAUUCUUGGACCUGCCAAGGACUAACAAAUGCGAAGGCAUUUGUCCAGACCGUAUCCAUUAAUCAAGAACGAUAGUGAGAGGUUCGAAGACGAUCAGAUACCGUCCUAGUUCUCACUGUAAACUAUGCCGACCCGGGAUUAGUCCUAUGCCUUAUUAUUACGGCUUGGGUUGGUCCCCCCGCGAAACCAAGUUUUUCGGUUGCGGGGGGAGUAUGGUCGCAAGGCUGAAACUUAAAGGAUCCGACGGACGGUACCAAGCUUGAUGCAUACGGCUUAAUUUGACUCAACACGGGAAAACUUACCGGAUCAGGACAUCAAAAGGAUUGUCAGACCGAAGAUCUUACAUGAUCUGGUGAUUGGUGGUGCAUGGCCGUUCUUAGUUCGUGAAGUGAUUUGUCAGGUUAAUUCCGGUAACGGACGAGAUCACAAUCUCCAUUUGACGAACUGGAGUAAAUGUGAAUAAUUGUUAUUUUUUGUAAAAGAAAAAUAAUAAUAUAUUAACAUUGUUGGUAAAAUGUGAUAUUAGUAUGGAAAGGAAAAAAUAUGUGGUAAAACAUGUAUUUUGAAUGGAAGUAUUGAUGUUGCAUUUUGCCUCCAGUCAAACAUUGUAUAGCUAGCUUUUAGUUGUAUGGUGUAUCAUGGAGAGACAACGGAACAUAAUCAAAAUCCGAGGAAGUGUGGCUAUAACAGGUCUGUGAUGCCCUUAGAUGUUCUGGGCCGCACGCGCGCUACAAUGGCGACGACAACGAGUGUCUGAAUCGAAAGAUUUGGGUAAUCUUAGAAUCGUCGCCGUGAUGGGGAUUGAUGUUUGUAAUUACGUCAUGAAAGAGGAAUCCCUAGUACGUGCGAUUCAUUAAAUUGCGCGGAUUUAGUCCCUGCCCUUUGUACACACCGCCCGUCGCUACUACCGAGUGAAUGGUGUCAUAAUGCCUUGGGAGCGGACAUCGUUUGAACCUUGUGUUCAAUUAGAUGCUGCGAUCAGCGUAGAAUGGCGCAAUUUCGAGGAAGUAAAAGUCGUAACAAGGUUUCCGUAGGUGAACCUGCGGAAG